CACGAAGUUAGCCGGGGCUUCUUCUCCGGGUACCGUCAUUAUCGUCCCCGGUGAAAGAAUUUUACAAUCCUAAGACCUUCAUCAUUCACGCGGCAUGGCUGCGUCAGGCUUUCGCCCAUUGCGCAAGAUUCCCCACUGCUGCCUCCCGUAGGAGUCUGGGCCGUGUCUCAGUCCCAGUGUGGCUGGUCGUCCUCUCAGACCAGCUACUGAUCGUCGCCUUGGUGAGCCAUUACCUCACCAACUAGCUAAUCAGACGCGGGCCGCUCUAAAGGCGAUAAAUCUUUCCCCCGAAGGGCACAUUCGGCAUUACCACCCGUUUCCAGGAGCUAUUCCGAACCUAAAGGCACGUUCCCACGUGUUACUCACCCGUCCGCCACUAACCCCGAAGGGUCCGUUCGACUUGCAUGUGUUAGGCCUGCCGCCAGCGUUCGCUCUGAGCCAGGAUCAAACUCU
rnacentral:rRNA from 1 species